CCCCCUUUCCCUCGGUUUCCUUGCUUAAGAAGGACAGGUGGGAGAAGGGCAGAGAGAGAGAGAGAGGAGACUCGCUUGAGGCUGAGGCCGUCGCCAUUGAUGGAGCUCGUCCCCUACGCGUCCAACCGUAACCCGAACGUCCCCUGGUCCGAGAUGUUCCGCGCCGCCUCCCUCCGCCGCCCGCCGGACUCGCUCCCCCCCUCCCGCCCAUCUUCACCACCUCAUCCCCGUCGCCGCCAGGAGGCACCGCCGCCUCCGUCCCCCGAGGCGGCCUCAGUCGAGUCCUCCCACGACGCCGCCCGCCUCGCUCUCUACAUCGCCAUGGCGCACGCCGGCCUCGCCCUCACCCUCCUCCUCCUUUACGGCCUCUACCGCCUCCUCCACGACUUCGUCCGACCCCUCCAGUGGGCGCUCCUCUGCUCCAUCCCCCUCCACGAGCUCCAGCGCGCCCUCGUCGACUUCUGGUCCCCGCCUCUCCACCUGGGCCUCGCCCCCGCCUUCCUUGCCGUCCCCGCUGCCCUCGUCCGCGCCUCCGCCGACACCCUCGCCGACCUCCGCACCGCCAUCCUCCGCCGAAAGCUCCGGCCCUCCCGCAAGGUCGGCUUUUCCCGCCUCAUCCGCUGGCUCGUCUCCUUCUGGGUCUUCAUCAUCUCUCACGAGCAGCUCGGCCCCGCUGCCACCGUCGCACUAUUCGCCCUCGGUCUCCUCCUGGCCAGCCCCACCGCGACCUCCGCCGUAAAAAAUGCCAGCUUCGUUCGCGGUCGGUCCUCCACACGCCCCUCCGAGCGGGGCGGUGGCGGAUUCUUCACCAAACGCAUCCUCAAGCACCUGAAUACCAUAAUCGCCGUCAGCUUAAUCGUCUGGAUGAUUAUCGGGGCCUUGGCCGGAGGCAUCUUCUUCUCCUACAAGAUCGGAGUGGAAGGGAAGGAUGCGGUGAUAUCGCUGAAAUCCCACGUCCAGAAGAGCAAUUACGCCGAGAGGAUCGGAUUCAAGAAGUGGUUGGACGACAACGAUAUCCCCGGCCUGGUGGAUCAAUACUCGGCCAACCUCUACGAUACUGUCUGGCAGCAGAUCGAUAGCUUGGCGGUCGAAUACAAUCUUACAGAUUUUGCCAAUGGUUUCCGGCAAUUCUUGAUCAGCCGAUCCAGGAACCCCUCGGGAGGCGCUUCCACCUCUUUGAUGGCCUCGGCACAGCAUCCUUACAGCGUAAAGCUCCAAUCUUUGAGCAUCCACUUCAAGAAUCACGAUUGGGCAGAGAUCUACAAGGAAUUGGACUCGUUCUUCAGGGAAUUGCUGAUCACCAGAGAGGAUCUGGUGGUGACAGCGAAAGGGCUUGCUUUCCGAGGGAUGGAAAUCUCAAAGCGGGUUCUUUCGAGUAGUACUUCGGUCAUCGGUGGCAGUGCUAGUUUAAUGGUAUCCAUUGCCUUGAAGUUGGCCUCGGGUGCAGCCGAAGUAUUGAAUUUUGUUUCCCAGUUGACGGUUUUCCUGUGGGUGUUGUAUUAUCUCAUCACCUCGGAGUCAGGCGGGGUGACAGAGCAGGUCAUGGAUAUGCUGCCCAUGUCAAAAUGGGCAAGAGUACGUUGUGUCGAGGUUAUCAACCAUGCCAUCAGCAGUGUGUUCUUGGCCACAGCGAAGAUUGCAAUCUUCCAAGGUUGUCUGACAUGGCUGCUAUUCAGGUUCUGCUCUGUUCAUUUCGUGUAUACCUCGACUCUCCUUGCUUUUAUUAGCUCGUUGGUGCCUAUACUUCCACUUUGGCUGUCAACGAUCCCUGCUGCGGUUCAGUUGUUCAUGGAAGGCAAAUUUGUAUGGGCGGUUGUGGUCACGGCGAUCCACCUUAUGAUGAUGGAUUAUGGUACUACAGUGCUUCAGGAGGAUAUACCUGGGCAUAAUGCAUAUCUAACUGGCCUUAGCAUCAUUGGUGGCAUGACAUUGUUCCCUAAUGCUUUGGAGGGAGCCAUAAUGGGUCCGCUAAUUAUGACGGUUGUCAUUGCUUUGAAGAACUUGUAUGUGGAGUUUGUUCUUGCUGAUAAAGAGGAAAGUGGCAGAGAAUCUGUGGUUACUGAUAAAGAGAACAGCAGCAGCUAGUUGUUAUUAAGAGCAUACCUUCAUAUAAGUAAGAUUAUGCGGACUGUUUAGCAUCAUUUCAGGAGCAUAUCAGAGAUUUCUAGUCACUGGACCGAUGUGGACCAGUUGGUGUACAGCUGAUUCAAGGUGUGGUACUUGUACAUUUGUAAGUAACUCAACACUCUUUGUUUGCAGACUUCUUCCAGGACCAACAUGAUAUGAUCUACAUGAUCUCUCAUGCAUAAAUGGAGGAUGUGGUUAGAUGGUCAUGCUUUUGGUUGUGGUUGGAAGGAUCAUCAGGUGUGUGUGCUCCUGGUCCUCGUUAAUUCGUGGAAACGAAGAACACUAGCAAUCAAGGAGAUGUCAGCUUCGACAUGCACAUCAUCUUUGAUCUCACUGAGCUAAUUAUGAUGUGCAGGAUUACCUUUUUCAAUCACAUUUGAUAUUAUCCGGAAGCAUAUACCACUUUCUAAUAAUCAUCUAUAACAUUUUGCAGGUCUCCUAAUAGCACGAGGACUUGCGACUUCUCAGCUUGAAGAAGACAAUGAGAUUUAUGUAGAGGUUUGGAUGCCAAUGCCCCUUUUUAAGUUGACCUGUGGGCAUGGAGAUGCUUAUGUUCGUGGGUACUGCAAUGCUCGUCCAAGAUACUGAUGCACUGUUGCCUUGUCUCGAUGCGGAGAUGCUCGAGGUCUCCAAGCUGGUUUGACGAUACGAAAGAUACCUUUCUAUGAGAGAAGAGAGAGGAGGAUAUGACCACUAAGUAUUUAAGUGCUCUCUGUUCACCAAUCUGUCGACAGUAAUUUUUCAUAUUACCCAUCUUUAUAGUCAAUUAUUUUUAA